GAUGAAGAACGUAUCGAAAUGCGAUAAGUAAUGUGAAUUGCAGAAUUCAGUGAAUCAUCGAAUCUUUGAACGCACAUUGCGCCCGCCAGUAUUCUGGCGGGCAUGCCUGUUCGAGCGUCAUUUCAACCAUCAAGCCCCCGGCUUGUGUUGGGGACCUGCGGCUGCCGCAGGCCCUGAAAACCAGUGGCGGGCUCGCUAGUCACUCCGAGCGUAGUAAUACAUCUCGCUCAGGGCGUGCUGCGGGUUCCGGCCGUUAAAAAGCCUUAUUUACCCAAGGUUGACCUCGGAUCAGGUAGGAAGACCCGCUGAACUUAAGCAUAUCAAUAAGCGGAGGA
rnacentral:misc_RNA from 1 species